rnacentral:tRNA from 1 species
UAAUAUGGCUCAGUCGGUAGAGCGACGCACUCGUAAUGCGUAGGUCGGGGGUUCGAAUCCCCCUAUUA